CUGGACGUCUGUAAAUGUUGAUUUAAGAAUAUUUUUUCGAUGUUUAUAAAUUAGGAUUCAUUACAGUAUAUUGAAGCAUUAAGGGAGUGAAGCCACAUAUCGUUGCCUUCCUCUCAACUAUGGAAUCAACUACCAGACUCAAUGCAGCUUGACUCCAGGCAAAGACAUCACAAGCUAGCCAAGGCUCACAAGCUGUAAAGUUUCUCAAGCACCUUCAUAUACUCAAACUAUUUCCUGAGACUAAAGUGGACGAAGUUCAACCUCAGUGAUGGGUUUUAACUGUAAAAAGAAACAUAC